UAUACACCUUGUGAAAGUUAAUGAAGAACAAAGUGAAGAACAAGAGAGAGAGUAAGAAGAGAAAUCAAGAGUAAGAGAGAUAGAGUAAAGAAGGAUUUUUUUCCUUAACCAUAAUGUGCAACAUGUUACAGAAAUUUAAAGGCAAGAUGCCUUGGUACAACAAUGAAUAAAAUAUGAAACUCAUAAACUAAGAAAAUAAUAAAGAAUGGAAAUCUGAUCGAUAGAUAGUGACAAGUCCUCAACGGUCUUGGAGCAUUCCUUGUCUUCUUCCAUCCUUAAGUAGAUCAUGUGACUAAUACUAUAAAUAAUUCACCCAACUUGUCUCCUUACUCUCCAACUGUUAGGUGCUUCUUGUGAGUUUAAAUUCACCAGCUCCACUAUGUUCCUGAAAAAUUUCUCAAGUCCAGUCUUGUUUCUCAAGUCCAUCC
rnacentral:lncRNA from 1 species